GUCUCUCUUGAAAAUAAACAUUAAAAGUUUAAAAAAAAAAAAAAGAAAUCUGCUACUCCAUUUCCAAACAACUACGGUUGUCUAGUUGUCUUUUUAUUAUUGAUUGCUAGAUUAAGUUUGCGCCCCUCAGAAAAUGUGCUUUAGUCAACUUCAAUCCUUUGAAAUUUGCUGAAACUUGGUUUGUGACCCAGUGUAUGGUUAACUUUGGUCAACAUUCCACAAAAACUUAAAUAUCCACAUAAACUUAAAAAUAAUGCAAAAGAAAAAAAAAAGUACCAUCAUACAAUCCAGCAAUUUCACUUCUGGGCAUUUAUCCAAACGAAAAUGCAAACACUAACUUGAAAAGAUAUAUUAACGCCUAUAUUCACUGCAGCAUUAUUUACAAUAGCCAAGAUAUGGAAGCAACCUAACUGUCCAUCAACAGAUGAAUGGAUAAAGAAGAUGUGGCACCCAUACAUACAAUAAAAUAUUACUCAGCCAUAAUAAAGAACAAACAGCAUGGAUGGACCUUGAGGUUAUUAUGCCAAGUGAAAUAAAUUAGAGAAAGAUAAAUACCAUAUGAUUUCAGCUAUAUGUGGAUCUAAAAA